UCCAGCACCUCGCGUGGCAAUGCGCUGCAGGCUUUCAGGCGGUCGAGCGAGCGGCAGCGCCGACGAGCGCCCCCUCCCCACCAUGGCAUUCGGCGGCAUCCCAGCGCCCCAUCCGCUUUCCUCUCGCGUGGCUCGUGGGCAGUGCCCGACCGACCACGGUGCCAGCGGCGCGGCUCUACUGCAGGGCGUCGCGUGGGGCUAGGCCGGUCAUGGCUAUGGCUCCGUGCUCGCGAAGGGGAGGGUCAGGGCAGGCUCCGGCCACCGGCGGUGGCUGCCAGUGUUCACACAUGGAGCAACGGGGCCUGCUCGGAGGACACGCAGUCGACGGCGGCGCUGGUUGCCGCACGGCAGAGGGCCACGGUGUCCCAGCCCCACGUGACCAGAGAAGAGCAAGGGGAGGGCUAUAGGCUGCGACCGGUGGUGUUGGAGAUCUGCUGUGGGUCGGAUCCGGCGAUUGCAGCUCGCCAGCUGCUCCAUUCGACUAGAUCUACACAUCGAGGGCCGACUCAGUGCGUCGCCACCGCCGUAGGCUGGCUGGUAGUCUUGGACGGGCGAGCCCCAUCCCCUUCACGCGUGCACAGCGCUGUACGAGCCUCCUUCUCUGUUGUCGUGAAGCUGCAUGCACAAAUGCUCAUUACAAUGAAGCUUCUCCAGAUGGAGUGACUAGCAGGAUCGUGAAGCUUUUUUCUCGAUUUUGUUCCGUGUCUGCCUCUUAAACAGUUAUGGCUUAUAAAAAAUUAUUAUUUUUCUUUUAAUUGCAAGCUGCAGCAAGGCGUUGAGUCUAGGCUAAGGAGGCCACCGUUGUCACUGCAUAUCAGUUAUUCAUGCUUCUCCUAGCAGGCUAGCACCUGGGCUUCCGGUGUCGUCAGGGCCAGCCCGCGCACGGCGCAGACUUUGCUUCCCUCACCAGGAGCUUCGAGUGGGAUGAGGAAGCGAGCAGAUUGAUAAGACGCCACGACACUAGGCGUGGUCGCCAUAUUGCUCGGUAGUAGCUUCGCUUCACACAUGGCCAGUGCGUUUUCUAUGGCCCGCUUGGCUCCUUGGCAGGAUACGAUGAUCGAGCUCCUGAAGUCCGAGCGAGAGUCACGGCGAGUAGUAUCCCACUGUGCAUGCUUCUUGUUUCCAGAAUUAGAGAGCAAAUUUGGAACAUAGGGAUUGAUUGAAAUCCACUAACCCUGGUGGUCCGGGUGCCAUUAUUCCGAUAAACAUUAAUGCAACUCCAUAGUAUGUUGGUUCACCUACAGUUUCUUUAACCUAUAAUUGGACAGAGCAUAUGUCCCCUGAAGGUUUUAAGUACUAUUACAAUAGAGAGAGUAAGGCGAGGAAUGAUGCUCAUCAUGUUAAUACGAGCUACUGUGUCCAUACAACGGGAGAAGCAGCCUGAAGAGUAUGAGUUGUAUGAGCUGCAGCAGAAAUUGCUUUUGCUUCAACAGCACCAACAAAAUUUUAUACAUUAACAGAGCAUAUCUUAUACAAUACUGGAACACAAUUUUAUACAUUAACGAAGCACAUUGUAUACAUUGUUAGAACACAAUUUAUACAUUUGUUGGGGGCAUAUUUAUACAUUGUUGUGGCUACGUCAAGAAUCAAGAUGAGGGCUGGGGCGGACUCGACGGUGUGGGGGCUGAGGGGAGGGCUCCAGAAAGCGCCAUGUAGUGUGGGGGCUGAGGAGAGGGCUCCAGGAAGCGUCGUGUGGCUAGAGAAGAAGGCUGACAUGUCCGUGCUUCGGCCACGGCGCAAGGUGAUAAUAUUUCCUAUUAGUGUUCUAUGAAUUGAUCUGCCCCUAUUGGCUUCCCUUUUAUGCACUCAAUAUUGCUAGUUUUAUAGGUACAUUUUCUCAUCUGUGUCUAUAUGAUUUGAAUACAAAUUGUGAAUUAGAUUAUUUGCAAGAUGCCAACCACUAGUUUUUUUUUUUUUUGCUUUCCUUUGGUUACUAUGCUUGCAUGCACAUUUUUUCUAUGCAUGCUUAAUUGUGUUUUGAGACCUGAUUAGAACAAAAAAAUAUUUUUAUACAUGAAUUAUUAUAUACAAGUUGUUCAUUAUACUUGAGGGAAAUGUUUGAUUUGUACUUACUAUAUUUUAUAUGCAUCCACUCUUGAUUUAAUUAAGGGGAACAUGCUAGGCAUGUUCUAUGCAUACAUACAAAAUCUCUAAUAGUGGACUGUACAUGUUGCGCCCCUAAGUGCAGGCUCAAAUAGAGUUUCUAUGCAUAUAAAAGUGAGUUUCUGUUCUAACAUUAGUGAGUUUCCAUGCAUAUCAAAGUUGGUACUACAUCUUCAUUUUUCUUCGAUUUUACCUUGUGUAUGCUUUCUUUGAUUCAAUUGCUUAGAUAUGGGUUGCAAGGAUGUUGUUCGCAGCACCAAGGAUGUGUGCGUGCUGCCAGCAGGAAAGAGGAAUAGGUAGAUUUUUUAUGAACAUAAAUUAUAUUUUUUGCUGUAUAAAAAUAUUUUUUACUAGAACAAUUUGGUACUACGUCCUCCAAAAUGAAAUCUUUUUAUUUUUGGGUGCAUAGAAAUUAAAAUCUUAGUAUUUAGAUAGGUAGCUACUCAGUUUUUUAUGCUGGUAGGCCGCAGGCGGCUGCUAGUUCAAUAAUCUAGUGGCAAGGUUUCUAUGCGGGCAAUUUUAGGCAGAAAGAUGCAUGUGUGAGUUUGGUAAUCUAACGACAAGGUUUCCAUGCAGUUUAGAAGCAUUCACGUGUCACCGGUUGCAAGCUUCUGUUCCUUUUUUUGUUUUUUUAUAAAUUCGUACGUACUCAAUUAUAGGCUCAAUUUAAUCGUUAAGUGUGCUCGUUGCUCCUAGGCAUGGAGCAGUCCGUAAGAACUCAUGCUUGCGCGCUGCUCACAUACUUUCUUAAUGUUAUCAUUGCUUUUUAUGUCACUGCCUGUUUAUGAUGUUUGUGCUGACGAUUUGCUUAGGGUUUCUAUGAAUGUUUUAGCAAUUAUGCCAGAUAUCAAAGCCAUCUUAAUUUUAUUUCUGCAUUUUUUGCCCUAAGGAGAUGAUGAAGAUCCAACAACUGGUGAGUACUUGCUUAUACUCAGAUCACUAGUGGCUUUGAUGACAUGAUCGAGGAGGUAUUUUUUUUGGAGGACAUUUCAAUAUUUUGAUGGAGCAGUUAUCUAUGUAUUUCUACACAAUUAUACAUUGUUGGAGCACACUUGUAUGCAUUGUUAGAACACUUUUCUAUACAACUUUCUAUGCAUUGUUUGGGUUAGGGCCACCACGAUUCCGGUACAAUAAUUCCACAUUUUUGUAUUUUGUUGGAGCAGUUAUCUAUGUAUUUCUACACAAUUAUACAUUGUUGGAGCACACUUGUAUGCAUUGUUAGAACACUUUGAUAUAAAUUAUUGGAAUAGUUUUUGUAAACUUCUACACGAUUCUAUAUAUUAUUGAUACAUAAUUCUAUACAACUUUCUAUGCAUUGUUUGGUUAGGCCACCAUGAUUCCGGUACAAUAAUCCCCCAGAAAGAAGGUUAUUUUGUGUUCUAUGCACUAUCCCUCUAUUAAUUUUACCUCUCUGAGAAUAAUGUUUUGGGAUGGGGCUGCCACGGUUUUGGAUAAAAUAAUCCCCCACUAAGGAGGGUUGUAUCGGGUUCUAUGCAUUGUUUCUCUAUUAAUUACCAAGUUAGAUGCAAGGUUUGGUUACGACCAUAAUAGGUUUCUAUGCUCGCAAAAACAUGUUUACGUGCCUUUUUUGUCGCUGUAAGGUUUUCCCGCGCACUACAUGUUUCUAUGCCUUUCUUAUGCUGCUGUCAAGUUUCUGCACCUGCUAAAACAUGUUUCUUUGCCUUUGUUGUGAUAUAGCAUGGUUGGAAAGAUUCCUCUCCAUUUGGCGUGAGAGGUCAAUGGUGGCUCAGACAUAGGACAUGGCUUGUGACGUCCACGGCUUCCUUGGCUUGCGGUGGUGGCGCAGUGUGAUCUUAAUGUAGUUGAUUGGUUAAUGUAAAAGGCUAGGUUUCCAUACAUUGUAUUUAUAUGCUUGGAUGAGAUGAGCAAAACUAUUUGUUUCUAUGUAACCUCAGUUGGAUUCCAAUAUAUUG